CAGAGGAUGAACCCUGAUGACUUUCACCGGCAUAUUCUGCUAGUGUCGGGGGCCUCAGUUAUAUUUUAAUACAAUUACUAUUUUCACAUAAACACAAUGGGUUGCCACUAAAUGUUGUACAGGUAUUCAUAUUAGAUCUAGACUCUGGAGUCUGAAAGACUUUAGUGAUCUCCUGACUUUGUUAAGUGCCAACAAGAGGUCAACAUUUAUGGUGAAACAUCAAUAGCUAUCAGAAAGAAUCGUAAUUUAACCUAAUCUAAACAUAUUCCUUGGCAUAAAGAUUUAGCACUAAUUAGAAGAAUGUUGUCAUUGUUAAAUUGCAAGAAAUUCUUUGACAUUUCAUUUUUUAUGUCUUUUAAUGCUUUAAGUGAUAACAGAUUUUCUUCCCGUCUGUCAUUGUUACAUGUAUUGCUUCAUUUCCACCGCCUUCAUCCAGCUCUUUUUACCUUAAAUAGGUGUUCCAGGUCAUGUUUUAUCAUAAGAAUCCAAUUUUCUUAAAAUCUCUGAUGCUUAUGCAGCAACAGAAUACAAAUUUUAUUCAUGUCUAUCCUAAAAUAUCCAUCUAAAGUAAGAAGCAUUGCCAGUUUGUCAGAUUGUGGCCUCUCCGCAUGUUUACUACACUGUAAUGGAGUACACUAAUUGACUUUACUCACCGUGUUGGCAGCACAGGGCCCGUCUGCUUCCCCCAGCCACUCAGUCUAAUGGCACUGAAGGGUCUUGUUUAUAACAGUCCUGUGCUUUUAGAGGCCAUUUCCAGAGAUGCACCCUGCUCUUUGCGUCGGGUUGUAAAAAGUGUGAAUGGGAGACUAAUAAAGGUGCAAUUACAGCGAUUGUAUGCCUGCGUGUGUGUGUGUGUGUGUGUGUGUGUGUGUGUGUGUGUGUGUGUGUGUGUGUGUGUGUGUGUGUGUGUGUGUGUGUGUGUGUGUGUGUGUGUGUGUGUGUGUGUGUGUGUGCGUGUGCUUGUGUGGUGACACUGCUGCCGACCGCUACUGUGGAUGUGCCUCCUGCAGCUGAUGAUAAUGGAUUAUUAGGACACCCUGAGGCAACACACAGGAGAGUCUCAGUCUGAGGUGCUGAUACCUGAAAGCCUGACAUAUAGCAAUUCUUUCAUUGAAAGCAAAGCUAAACAAGAAACUGACUGCUCUUCACUUGAACUCUUCACAAUAAGCUACUUGGAUAGUUCAGUAUCAGCUGAAUGUCAUGAACCCUUUUGUUAUGGCCACUUAAGCUGUAUUGAUUUGACUUUCAGCUGGAGGAACAUAAAGUUGAUAUGUAGCUUGUGAGAACAGAAUUGCAGCUGUGGGAGGCCAGAAAAAAAUCCUCUGCUACAAGCACGGUUGUUUCAACACAGCAGUGGACCUCUUGUCACAUUUAGAGCAGCUUGUUGUAUUAUAAAUCAACAGGCAGGAAAUAAGAGUUAUUCACUCAGACUGUCGGGGUGCCAAAAAGAUCCAGACACCAGCAUGUUAUGUGUGCAGGAUUUGAAUUACUAGUGGUACGUCACUGCACAUACAUUAUAAAUGGACACAGUAGGUGGAGAUAAAUAUUAAAGGGUUGACUUCAAAGAAUCAAGCUUUCUUAAAUACGUAAACCUCAGUCUUACCUCAUGCUCUCCAUGGAUAUUUGUAAAAGCUAAUGGUCAAUAAAAGCCUCACAAAACUCAUGCACACACAAGCAGCACACACACACACAUUUCUCACUUUUAAGGUUAUAUACUAUAUGGAUAUUAGAAGAUUAUAAUCAUUUUUAUGCAUUUUGUUUCAAUAACUAGACAUGUUUUUCUUUCAGCCGCUGAAAAUGAUGUCUAAGUGAAGUCUUUCAAUUAAAGCUUGUAUCACGCUGAGAUUCUAAUUGCGUACUUCAGUGGAUCUCUAAGUGGAGCCCUUGGGAGGAGGGGAUCCUUUGAAAAUGAGGAACAGUUUAAUUUUUACAUCACUUCGUUUAGCACAUCACAUCAUUAGCUUGCGGAACUCUCAGAUAUGCAUGUUCAUUCUCAGAUCAACAUAAAGUUUGGUGUGGUCAGAUGAAUCAUAAAGGCUUUUACAUUUUAGAGAUGUGUUUUCUUUAGGUAAAGCUACGGCAUCUAACAGAGGGGAUUGAUGGGAAGGCCACCUUGUGAGCUAAAGGUUUGAAGGCUUGCUAACAGCCUGCAGUGUCCAUUAUGCAGACUACAUAAAACUGUGAUGGGAAGCCAAAAAUGCUGCUGUUUUAAGCAUUCGUCAUAGUCUUUUUACCUGUAGAGCAAUGACAUAAAUGCUAUAAAAAGUACCAUCAGGAGUUGUUCGACAUUUGGCAAAUACAGAGUUCAAGGAGUUAGAUUUUUCUCUGCAAUCAAAAGUAUUUUUUAAAAAAUGAUCACUUAUUAAAUGAAUAAUGAUGAUUUUAAGCUGAUUACUUAUAAACAGUAGUUAUAAGUUUGUAGUUUUUCUGUUAUUCAAAAGUAAUUGGACGUGUCAUGUGCUUCAUUUGCAUAAUUUUGAACACAAUUUGUAAAGUUUACUUAAAAAAAAAAAAAAAAAAACAUUAAAAAGAAGAAGUUGCUCCAGUGUAAGGUGUUAAAUAGGGACAGGACCUCAAGUUGAAGAAAAAAUGAUCAUGCCAAUUUCAUUUAGUCCCCUCAUCUUAAAAUGCAUAAUGCAGAAAUUAGAGUUUAAACUAUACACAAUAUUAAGAUGACGCAAUGGCCAACAUUAUUAUGUCAACACAUCCCAUUAAAAUACUGUUUGCAACUUAAAAGUUUUAUCUCAACAAAUAAAACCAUGCAUUUAAUUAAGUGGUGUGAAUAAGUCCCUUGAAUUAGUUGUCCAAAGUUAAAAAAUAAACUUAGCAGCACUUGUGGAGCUCACUAAUGUGGUGUCUUCUUUUAUAAACCCUAAAUGCAAAAAACAACUAUUUUUGAGACCAUUCCUUAGCAAUCAGUGCUAAUCCCUUAUUCAAAACUUAACUCCAAACUCUGAGUGAUAUCUCACCUAACUAAUGUCUCACAUCACAACAGGCUGCAAAACCUGACCAGCUCUUACAGAAAACAAACUUUCUGAUCUAUUUUGUGGGCAUUUUGGAUUGACAUGAAAAGUUGCAUGUUUUUUUUGUUUGUUUGUUUUUUGGGGGGGACAAAAAUCCGGUCACAGGUCACCCUGCUCAUCAGGUAGAUCAGCUGCACCUGUGAAGUGGAGCUCAGUUGUAGGCUGUUGGUGAUCAGCCUGGAUGGGUGACUUUAUAAAGAGAGGUUUUUGACUCUCUUGUCAGUUGAAGGAAGAGUGGCUCAGGAGAUUCAGCAACAUCAGCAGGUUUUCUUUCAAAUACUGAGUUUGAGUAUCUAAAUAUGACAAUCAAGCUAUUCUUUGCUUCUUUUUUAAUCUCUUCUCAAACAACCCCUUACAAAACUACUGAAUCCCACAUAAGUUGUGUUUUGGGUCAUACGUUUCAGUUGUUUUAUCCUUUUGAUAGGUUCAGUGAGUGGUAGUUGGGACAAAUCUCCCUGUCACCUUUUAGAAAAUGAAGAGCCAUUUCUAUUUUGAACCCCAUUUUGAAUGUGCAGUUUCCCUUUUGAAGACCUUUGAUAUCUUGUGUUGUGUUCUGGAGGAGACGAGACGUGAUAUGGGUCUGUAGACAUAUCUGAGUCAUAUAAUUGUGUUCAAAAACUACGAAAAGCUGGAUUUUGCAUAUUAUAGCACCCUAAGAGCCAUUCUUUGAGUCUUCAUAUUAAUAGCAAUUUAGGCAGCAGUAGACUAUCUGGUUCUGGACUAAUGUAUUCAUAAGCUUCAAGCAUAAAGUAAUAAAAUACAGGUUUGGCUCUUAAGUUUCAAGUGAAAGGAGGAAUCGCUGUGCAAUGGUCUUUGACUUAGAUUCAUGAACGUAUUGGGCAACAAGCUGAUUUCAACAACAGUGAAGAGUAUAACAGAGUAUUUGUAAGGUUUUAAUGAUGAUUUAAUGAAAAUUACUGAGACAGAAACCAAAAGCACUGUUUUGAUAUUUGCACAGGGGGACCUUUAAGCCAUCGUUGCCUUGCUAUACUUACCAGAGAAUGAUGUAGGUGCUAUUAAGCACUGCACAUGGGUGGGAUAAAUCCUUUGGAUCCAGUGGGAAAUGUGGCGUCUUUCUCUCUUUCUCUUCGUCCUUGUUCUGUUGCCGCCAUCCUGCUGACCGAAGCCUAUAAUUUGGAAUGUGUAUAAUGGAUAAAUUAGCUGUCAGCCAAUAAAUCUGCGGAAAAGGGAGCCACAGAGGUUCAUGCGAUCUGACCCAGGAAACUGUGCUGUGAGAAUAGUUAAGCAGCUGUGGGAGGACGGGCCGCGGUGAGUUACGGCUCCGCGGGGCCAUAAACAAAACACAAGCAAAGGGGCUUUUGAAGCUAACAAGACCAUGCAAGGGUCAAAUGCGUAGUUGGAGACAUUUAAUGUGUCUUUGGCAUUCAAAGAGUUGGCCCACAAUUUGCAUUCAUCUAAUGGAAAAAAGUAUAAACAGGAGGAGAGCUGGAAAAACAAAUUCCCACUUUAAAAAUCUGUCAUUUCUUACAGUGUGGUGUGCACUACACUGUUUCAUCGAAAGUGGUUGUUUUGUUUUUUUUUGAGUGAAGACAUUAACUGCUGAUGUUAGGUGUCAUUUCUGAAAGUCAGCCAUGCUCCUGUCAGGCUUCUGUCUGAUUAAGGGAAAAGUUGGCUGACACACCUGCUCUUCUAGCUGACAGGCUACUUGCUGCCUCAUUGCAUGUCCUGACCUUUUAGUCAAAGUGCAAACAAAUGACUCUCAGACAGAAGCAGGAGCUCCAGAUAAUGAUGGUGGCACCAUACACUUGUUUCAGACCGCUGCAAAGGUUGCCUAGAGUCAGUGGUGAAACUUUCCGAUUAUGAUUUUCUCUUGGGCUGACUGACUUCUUUUUUUUUUUUUUUUUGAUUUAUUUCCCCCUCUUCCUUUUCUGUGAGUUUCUUGUGAGAACAGGCCAUGCCACAAUAUUUUAUUACUGUUAGUAUUUUUGAAUCUCAUCCAGUGUUUUGGUUUAUGACCUUGCAAAAGUAGCAUUGUGUUCUCCUCAGCCUCAGCUACACUUAAGAGUUUGGUUGACAUCAGAUUCCAAAACCUGGGAUUAGAAUCGGAGGCAAGAAAAGCCUGUUUUCCCAUUGAUACACUUUACCUUAAUCUGAACUGAAUCUGUUCUCUAACCCCAUGUUUUGAUGCCUAAACUGACCCCAGUUUUACCUUUUCCCCCCAACCAUUUAUCUCUGCUGACUUCCAAGCGUUGGAAUCUGAUGUUUAUUACCUUUUACUGUUUAGUGCUAAUUAUCACAUUAGCAUGCUAACACAAUAAACAAAGAUGGUGACCAUGGUAGACAUUAAGCCUGCUAAACAUCAGCAUGUUAGAAGUCCAAUUGUGAGCUGUCAGUCAGUAUUUUGGUAUGUUCAUAGGCAUUCUUGGUGCCAUCUAUAGACGUCCUCUCCCCACCAUCUUUUGCACUAAUGCAUCACCACUCUCCCACCACCGUGCUUCACUGUCAGGACUAUGAAUUCACUGUAGUGGUCCUGAACAGUUUCGUGCCAAAUAUGCUGGAUCCCAUCUGAGCCAAACAAAUUUACGGAUUAUACCUAGACAUAACGAGCUUACUCACUCUAAAAGGUUCUCAUAAUGUAACAGUAGUUGCUCAGUAAGAAUGACUUCGAUUCUUGUUCCUAUUUUUAUGCUGUGACAGAAAUUUCUGACUAAAUCUUUUCAUUUGUAAGGCAACUUUGGUUUGUCUUCAUGAUUUGGUCUAUCAAAUGUGGUCAGAUACUGGAGCAUCCAAACAGAGUUUUACACUUAAGAGGGAAAAAAAUGGGUGCAUUUGACUUGGAUAUAUCACACUAGCCAUAAUAGCUAGAGUUACUGGAGUUUGGUUUUUACUCCUCUUUUCCAACUUUUGGGAAUUUUUACUAUUCUGUUUUCAAGAACACACAUUUCUACGAUAUAAUGUUUUUUUUAAAAAUUAUUUUAUUUAUUAUUUUAUGGUAUGGUAAGACAUCUGAAGUUUGGAAAAAAUGUUUAAUUUCACCAACUGUAUGCAUCUGUGUACUUUCCUUAGUAAGGCAGGACAAAGAUGAAUGCUUGGUUUCUAAAUGUAUGUAAAAAAAAAAAAAAAAGUAUGAUUUUGUAAUAUUUCCCUCUUAGGCACAUUUUUACAAUCGAACUGAUGUUUCAGGUCCCUGCAUGUUGCCAAGGCAAAUAUCUUGUGCAGGUAAACAACAUGUUCCUGCGUUACUUUUCCCAUUAAUCAUUGUAAUGUCUCUACGUUGUUCCACCUCGUUCUUGUGAUAAAUCAGAAUAGCGUGUGGAUUUUAUCAUUCAUUUUAUGCACUUGGUACACUCCGUUACCCUUGGAGGCUUUCUCAUCCCUCACAACUGUCACGUACGAUUUCACAGCAACACAUUGUUCUGGAUUAAAGUAAUAGAAAGCUGUAAAAUGCACUGAAGGUGUCACUUCUGAAAACAGUCCCCAGUUGAUCAGACGUUUGUAUUUAAUUGUUGCAAAGUUUGACAUUACUGCAGGCAGCAAGAAGGAUGAAGUUGGUGAAGGUACAGAAUGAUUUACAUUUCAACAGCUCACUCAGAAAACUUUUUAAGAAACCACAGAAUAAAUUACUUGUUUUCUGUAUACUGUCUUUUGAUCUUCUGGGAGCUUUUUGAAAACUGUAUUUGAGUUAAUGUUUGAUUUAUGAAAAUGGGUCACAUCCCUUAGGGACAUUCUGCAGCACAUAAUAUUUUAGGUGCAUGUUGAAUGGGAAAAGUGACAUCAUUACUCUCCAUUUCUCUUGAUAUCUAGCGGCACAAUAAUCUUAUUACCAUGGGCUUUACACCAUUGAUCAGUCAUGCAAGUCAAGCUUAGAAUGAUUGCUCUGAAUACAGCUAUCUGUGUUUUAAAUUAUAAUGGAAAACAAACAAACACUGUAGAUGUGCAUGAUUUCAAGUAGUGAUCUGAAAAUGUAUUGCCUCUAGAUAAAAGCAAGAUAUUUUGCAUUAUUUCCAUUCUCCAUGCUGAGCUUCAGAUCAGCAAUAUUUUUGGCUUUAACUUUUAUUGUGAAAUAGCUAAGCUCUGAGGGCAGGGCUCCACAUCUGUCUUUUUGACUGAUGUUCAGACAUGAUGGAAUAACAUAAACAUGUGGUUCAGCGUUUCUUUUUGUUUAUCCAGCAGCUUCUUCUCUUUAAUCCGAGAUGGGAGAUGUGCACACACAGUUUCAGCACCUGCUGAACUUGCUGGAGUGAUGUGGUGCCUCCGAGGUUUAUCGCACCAACAGAUAAAAAAAGAAAAAUUAAUUUAGGUCAUGGCAUAACCAGGCUGCACACGAUAGUUUAUACUAAGAUGUAUCACAAAUGGUUUCCUGAGAGUUUCACUGUCGUCUGUCAAAAUAAAUGUUGUGACAUUCUACUUGUAAAUACGGCGAGUUGUGGUAUAAUGCCGAGGCUUAUCGAGCACGUUCGAGCCUUUUAGUGCACCUCCACAGUGAGACAGCAUCAAAUCAGCAGGCAGCAGAGGAGUCGCCUCUUUAUCAGUUAAUGGACGAGUACACUGGAAUGUUGGCCUGUUCUCGGUGCUGACAUUUAAACUGAUGAGUCCUGCUCUGCAGCCCAAACAAAGGACUGUCAGACUGUUGGGAAGAGGAACACUUUCAUCCCAGAGAUAAUAACAAUACAUGGGGGUAGCAAAAGCGAGUGUGUGAUCGACUAAUCUCCCAGCGGUGUGGUGGGGCGUCGUAGGAUUGAUUGCUGGAGCUUUUAGUUUGCCUUGCAUGCCAUAUUGUUAUCUCCUAUUAAAAGAGUGUGUACAGAGACUUGUACCCAGACAUAAAUCACAAAGCUUGGGUUCGGUCAGGCUUAAGGAGAAGUAAUCAAUUAUACUCUAGCAGACAUAAAGGAAGAGGCUGAGCUUGCACCCCCGGCUGCUCUCAUUAUCAUAAUCAUCCCCUUUAAGUGAUGCAGACUCGAACACGCAGACAAGAGAUAAAUUCAUGAACUACUGAGCCUGACAAAAAAUACAAAUUGAAGACAGUACCUCAGCAUUCAUAAAGGAAUUACAGUCCUUUUGCAUGAAAGAAAUUUAGUUCUCCGUAAGUCAGAUGACAGUUUUAGUGAUAUAAUAUAUUGUCUUGGGAGGUAACUGAAGAUUUAAAAAGAUGUAGUGGCCCUGGGAGUGUGCUUGGUUAUAGCUGGACAGCAUUUAUUUUUAUUAAGACCCUAAAAUAAUAUUCAAAAAUCCUUGAAAAGAGUCACAUCUCAAACUAUAUUUACUACUAAUGAUGAUCCGCUAACUGCUAACUUUUAUCACGUCGAUGACUCAGGCUUGCCAAACUUUUGUAAUUAUAAGUUCAAAGACCUCCAAGGGAGGGUCUGACAAAAGAUGCGAUUAAUCUGCAUAAAGGAAAGUAUAGGACUCUUGGGAAUUUGAACUUGAUUAUUAAAUCAACUGACUGUGUAAAUGUAAAGAGAUUACAUGCUGUGUGUGCUUUGAUUUCCUCCAGUUUUAGUGAAAUGCAAUACUAAGUUCAUGCAUACACCCAUCAGUCACAAAAAUAAACUGCCCCCCUGAUAAUGUACAGGUUCUCUCAUGCCAUCAAAACAGCUCUUCUCUGUCGGAAAUCAAAUACUUUAUUGAUCCCUGAUAGGAAAUGGCUUCAGUCGAGGUCUGGAUUCUGCAAGACCUCUAAAGCUAUCCUGCAGUAUGAAGCACCAAGACAUUAGCCACAUAUCUUUGAAGUUGCGAAAGAUACAAGGUGGUACCUGCAUGGAUCACACUUGUUUUCCCAGCAGAUCCCACCAGCGCUCAGUCGGAUUGAGAUCUGGGGAAUUUGGAGGCCGAGUCAAUACCUUGAACUCUUGGUCGUGCUCCUCAAACAAUUCCUGAAAAUUUUUUACACUGUGGAAGGAAACAUCGUCCUGCAAAAAGCCAUCAGUGAAUACUGUUGUCAUAGUUUGUGAGGAUUUUGAACACAAGUGUGAGAGCAACACAGAGCAGACACGAGGCAGAGUGGCAAUCACAGGUGUUUUAUUCUCAAAACACUCAAAAAUAUAACCAAAAUUGCCAACUAAGGGGCGGGAGACGCGGGCUGCUCUGUCGGCUCAGUUCUGUCUCCAGCACGGAGACGGGAAAUGGAGGAGAAUGAUCUGGCGCUGCGUGCAGUGCAGCGCCGGAUAGUGUUGUUUUUGGCGGCCUGUUUUGAUUUUAGUUUUAGUCUAGUCGUUGUGUCAAGCUGACAGUUUAGUUUUUUUAGUCAAGUUUUAGUCGACUAAAAGUCUGAGCAUUUUAGUCUUAUUUUAGUCAGAAUAACCUAUGACUAUUUUCGUCUAGUUUUAGUCGACGAAAACUGAUGACAUUUUAGUCUAGUUUUAGUAAAUGAAAAUUAUGUUUUACUCUCUUUUUAGUAAUGCAAUUCUAUUUAACCCAAUCGAUAUAGUAUAAUUUCCUUGUAUAGUAUAGACAAAACCAUUUUUUUCUUUUAGUCAAACCCAUUUCACAAAUUAAACAUGGUUAUCUUAUUAUUAUAUUAUUGUUAACUUAUAAACUCAAGAAUAUACUCACUCCGGACAUGGAAGAUGCUCUGGUCAACACAUUUAUUUUACCAACCAAACAUGUAGGUACACACACAUAAAUUUAAAUAAAAUAAAUAAAUAAAUAAAUAAAAUAGCAUCACAUGACUGGCAGAAAAAAAAUUAAUGUCGUGUUUUUCCCCGUUAUUUUGUGGUCGCAUUUCUCCCCGCCUUUUUCCACGACACAUUCCGUUUUGUUUUCCACUUGUAUGUAAACAAAGUAUGUCCAUAUAUCGCUUCUUCGUUUUCUCCCCAGCUGCCCGAAAGCUGGGAAACAGCACCCGGCCAUGAUCCCACCGCAGAUGCAUCUAAAUAAUGCCGCGAGUGAAGAUUGAGGAAGUGACGUCGCCUGCGUCAGCGCAGGUCGACGUCACUACCUGGGGAACAGAAAUACUGCAAAAUAAUAAACGCGACUAAACAUUUAAAUGUUAUUUCGUCUAGUCUCGUUUUGGUCAACGAAAAUGAAGAGACAUUUCAGCAGAGUUUUUAUUUCGUAAACCGAAUUUCGUCUCGUUUUUAUUCGUCAACAAUAUUGUAUGAUAUAUUUUAUUAUAGUUAUCGUCACAUAACCAACAUUUACUUUCGUCUCGUUUUCGUCAAGUGAUAAAGGUUCGUUGACGACGAUAUUUCGUCAUAAUUUUCGUCGACGAAAGCAACACUAGCGCCGGAUAAUCUAGUAGAGGAUGAUGAUUAGCUGCAGCUGCCCAGGUCCUGCAGCUGCAACUCACUGUCUCAUCAGCACUGACAACUGUUGUCAUAAAGGGAUUUAUGUGUUCUGUGAUGCCCAGAGCAUUCCACACCUUCCCCUGUCUCGUCUCCAUUACAUACUACAUUCUGCUACCAUGUCUUCCCAAGGUAAACAAUGCACAGGCAACAUUAACAUUUGUGGGUUAGCAUUAGCAUUUGGGUUUCUGAACACUAUGACAUUACUUCUUAGCUCAGUUUUUUUUUUUUUUGUCUUUGCCAACUUCUCUGAAGACUAUCUAACACUGUAGCUGUGAAAUGCUCCACUGUUCAAUUCCUAAUCACUAGUUUUGUCUGUUAUUUGGUUCUGAGCAAGUGUUGUGUUGUCCUUUAAUCAGAGCUGGUUUGCUAGAGAAGGCUGACUAAUGCUGUCUGAAAAUGAGGAUGAUAGCAAACAAAAAAUCAAUCUGUAAAACCAUAUCACCAUUUGCAACCAAAUGCACCAUAUAGCUGAGAUGAACUUUAGGUCUUUCUGGGUUUAUCAUUACGACUAGUUUGACUGAAUGCUGAUUGGGGCAUGAAAUUGAAACUGAAGUUGAGAAUAAACAACAACAAAUGCAUGUUGCCCUAAUUGUUGUGCCUUAUUAAAAAUUAAAGAUACAGAAGGUGAGAUGACAACUAGGGUUGCCACCUUUCAGAAAUGAAAAUAAAGGACGCCCACCACGGCUCCUUGGGGCCACAGUUCAGUAAAAUCGGAAAGAUAUUCACAGAUUCAGAAUUCCAGCAUCAAUAACUCAUUAUAAACGAUGCCUCUUUUCCAUCGCUGUAAGGUAGACAAUGUGCUACAAGCCUAGUUUUAUCAACAGUAGCUGUCUUUCAAGCUGCAGAAAUAACAUUGGUGUCAACAGGAACCAGUUGAAGGCUGCAGUGAUUUUGGUGACACUACAGUGUAUCAGAGAGAAACUGUUGAAUAUUUGUGUCUCUCUUUGCUGUUGCAGCAGUUUUGUAAUUUGCAGACGGUCCCUGUUCACUCCAUAGACAUCAGUGGUAUUCGUGCAGCUUCAAAGACAGCUACUGUUGAUAAAACUGGGCUUGUAGCACAUUGUCUACCUUACAACGAUGGGAAAGAGUGGGUCUCCUCUAAUCAGACAGUGCGAUGCUGCAGGUCACUACACUGACCACCUGUGCUUUGGGAAGGGGAGGAGCUCACAGCGCCACCUGCUGCUCGUUGAGCACAGUAACUGCAGAACGAUCCGAGCUUUCAUGUCAGACAGGGGCGGAUCCAGAUUAAUUUUAGUGGAGGGUGGGGGUACAACAGAUAUUUUGGGGGGUUGUAAGAAAAAAUGAAAGCUGCUACCGACCUCUCGCUUUUACAAAGUAUUUUUCAUGUUUUUUUUUGGCUCUUUAACCCAAUAGGAAAGCUGUAUAUGACCUUUUCAUUUUGGACUGUUAUUCAAAUUAUGAUGGACUUGUUUCCUUGUUUAUGUGAAUUACAACAUCAUUAGCUGCAACAUCUGCCUGUCUGUAAAACUGGUAGCUCAACGACAGCAUCCUGAGGGCAAUUAAGUGACAAAUAUUGUGCAAGAACAGCACUAUUACAACCCUGACAAUUUCCACUUCUUACAAUGUUUACUGCCGAUUAUCACACAUAAAACAAGAGAUAUUAUUCUGUACUAACAUUUCUGUACUAGCCAAUACACAGUGAAUAAAUAUGAUCUGAAAGUAAGGUUAUUGUUGUUUAUCAGCACAAUACAAAAAGAUUAAUGUUAGAAAUAUUCCAGUUAAGACUCUAGAAUACCAUGAUUUAUGUAAAUUUACCUCAAUAAUAUGAAUGUUCAGGUUAAGAUUGUACAGUGAUAUUUAUUAUGUAAGUUUAGCUGAUUUAAGUUUAUGACUCUGCACUAAAAUAUUAUUUAUUAUUUAAAUUUACAUCAUUAUUAUAAUAUUUAGGGUCAGACUCUACAGUAUUGAGAUUAAGAAAUCAAAUAUUCUAUAAAAUGUAAAUACACUGAACUCAUUUGGAUAUAUUUAAGUGAGACUCUACAGUAUUAUUUGACACAAAUCUAUCUAAAUCAAAAUUUUAAUAAUUUUCAUGCCAAACAUUUGCUGGACUGAUUUAAAUAUUAAAAUCAUUUCUUUGUAAUCCUCUGCUGUACGUUCAAACCUGAGGCCUUAAAUAGAAACACACAAGUAUCUGAUUGAAGGAACUUCUGCAGAGUCCUGGUUCCAGAACAUGAUGAUAGAAUUAUAGACAAACUUUAACAAAAGCUGCCUGAGAGUUUACAGGUUUUUAUGUUGGAUUUCUUCAGUAAUUUAAUGAGCGUUAUCAGCAAUAAUCAAGUGUUCAUUUGAUGAACUUCAUUUCCUAAAACAUCCAGAAUUGGAGCUCAUAUCUUUGGCAGCUGUAAAGUUUCUGCUCCUUCAAAGUUCACAACACAAUGAAUACACUCUCAAUGCUGGAGAGCGUUUGUGAUGCUGAAGCAGUGACCAUUUUUUCUGUUUCUUCUCUGGAGAUGCACAAUGAGGGACGUCUGCAGAGACUGAGAAAGAGUCUCACCACAUCCUGACAUGAGGAAAAAGACUUUAUUGAAGACUACAAUGAGAAAAACUAUCAGACAGCAGACGGCUGCAUUCAAGUCUGUAGCUGCUGAAUUCAUGGAUGAAUCAUCUGGCACUAGAGAAGAAGACCAUCAAACAUCCAUGUCAGCUGAUGGAGGUCCAAGAGUCUCACCGAACAAACAACUUACAGAGUGAAGACCUCGAAUCUGAUUGGACGGCCUCCUACUCAGCCUCUAAGUUGAUUUGUUUCCUAAAAUAAAUCUAGUUUGAGUCCUAA